CCGCAACUAGAAUUCCAACAUUUUUGCAAAAGCCUGGUUUCCAUACGUGGUUGUAACUGUCGCGUGUUUGUCGUGAAUGAUUUUUAUGCGUGUUUCCAUAUGGUAGUGUAACUGUCGUGACACUGUCGUAAGUUAAUUUCGUGGCCAGGGCCGGAUUGUACAAGCAGUUGGCGACAGUUUUAAAAAGACAAACACGGUCCCCCCAAAGGGGAACUUUGCCCCCCCCCCCGAUUGUCGCAAAACUGUUGCCACGCUGUCGUUUUUCUGUUUUCAUUAAAACAUAACCGUCACGACACGUUUUUAUUUUACUGUUGUCGCCGGAUAGAAUUCGAGCCUAUCUCGACGACGCUGUUGUAACUGUCGUGAACUGUUGCCAGCGUGUCGCGACAAGACUUUUC